rnacentral:rRNA from 1 species
GUGGGGAAUAUUGCACAAUGGAGGAAACUCUGAUGCAGCGAUGCCGCGUGAGGGAAGAAGGUUUUCGGAUUGUAAACCUCUGUCUUCAGGGACGAUAAUGACGGUACCUGAGGAGGAAGCUCCGGCUAACUACGUGCCAGCAGCCGCGGUAAUACGUAGGGAGCGAGCGUUGUCCGGAAUUACUGGGUGUAAAGGGAGCGUAGGCGGGAUCUUAAGUCAGGUGUGAAAACUAUGGGCUCAACCCAUAGACUGCACUUGAAACUGAGGUUCUUGAGUGAAGUAGAGGCAGGCGGAAUUCCUAGUGUAGCGGUGAAAUGCGUAGAUAUUAGGAGGAACAUCAGUGGCGAAGGCGGCCUGCUGGGCUUUUACUGACGCUGAGGCUCGAAAGCGUGGGGAGCAAACAGGAUUAGAAACCCUAGUAGUCC